CCUACGGGGAGCAGCAGUCGAGAAUCAUUCACAAUGGGGGAAACCCUGAUGGUGCGACGCCGCGUGGGGGAAUGAAGGUCUUCGGAUUGUAAACCCCUGUCAUGUGGGAGCAAAUUAAAAAGAUAGUACCACAAGAGGAAGAGACGGCUAACUCUGUGCCAGCAGCCGCGGUAAUACAGAGGUCUCAAGCGUUGUUCGGAAUCACUGGGCGUAGAGCGUGCGUAGGCUGUUUCGUAAGUCGUGUGUGAAAGGCGAGGGCUCAACCCGCGGACGGCACAUGAUACUGCGAGACUAGAGUAAUGGAGGGGGAACCGGAAUUCUCGGUGUAGCAGUGAAAUGCGUAGAUAUCGAGAGGAACACUCGUGGCGAAGGCGGGUUCCUGGACAUUAACUGACGCUGAGGCACGAAGGCCAGGGGAGCGAAAGGGAUUAGAUACCCCAGUAGUC
rnacentral:rRNA from 1 species